rnacentral:rRNA from 1 species
AUGCAGCCACUCCAUUUUCCAUACAUGGAGUACAGCAGAAAAUUAACUUUCUUUGCCCUUGUGCUGCUGAUCUCCUUGGCCUCUCCCAUCAGUUCUUGCACAGAGAAAGAGAAGGGGUCCCUCCUGCAGUUCCUCAGUGGUCUGUCGUCGGACGGUGGCCUCACCGCGUCCUGGAAGCAGAACGGCGCAGACUGCUGCGAAUGGGAAGGGGUCACCUGUGGCGAGGAUGGGGCAGUCACAGGUGUCUCAUUGGCUUUGAAGGGCCUUGAGGGGCGCAUAACACCGUCCCUCGGUAACCUUGUUGGCCUUCUGCGCCUCAACCUGUCCCACAAUUCGCUGUCGGGUGGCCUGCCACUGGAACUGGUGUCGUCCGGUAGCAUCAUCGUCCUUGAUGUCAGCUUCAACCGCCUCGGAGGAGACAUGCAAGAGCUGCCAUCUUCAACCCCAUCACGACCUCUUCAGGUACUGAACAUCUCAAGCAACUUGUUCACAGGACGGUUUCCAUCAUCCACCACCUGGGAGGUGAUGGACAAUCUGGUUGUGCUCAACGCCAGCAAUAACAGCUUCACUGGGCAAAUACCGGAUAAUUUCUGCAGCAGCUCGUCAUUGUUAGCUGUAGUUGAGCUCUGUUACAACCAAUUUACAGGCGUCAUCCCUCCUGGACUUGGUAACUGCUCCAUGCUCAGAGUGCUCAAGGCUGGACACAACAACCUCCGCGGGACUCUCCCAAAUGAACUCUUUGAUGCUUCCUUACUGGAAUACCUCUCACUUCCUAGCAAUGUUCUGGAUGGAGUGCUCGACGGUGCUCAGAUAAUCAAGCUCAGCAAUCUGGUUACGCUAGACCUUGGAAGGAAUAAUUUCAGCGGCAAGAUUCCGGAUUCCAUAGGUGAGCUCGAGAGCCUAGAAGAGUUGCAUUUGGACUACAACAACAUGUCAGGGGAGCUGCCGUCAGCCCUGAGUAACUGCACAAAUCUGAUAACAAUUAACUUCAAGAGCAACAACCUCAGUGGAGAACUUAGCAAGGUCAACUUCUCCACCCUGCCUAGGCUGAAAACUCUAGAUAUUCUGUACAACAACUUUAAUGGCAGAGUUCCAGAAAGUUUGUAUACCUGCAGCAAUCUGACUGCAUUGCGGCUAUCUGGCAACAACUUACAUGGGCAGCUCUCACCAAGAAUAGGUGAUCUGAAGCACCUCACCUUCCUUUCACUUGCUAUGAACUCUUUCACAAACAUCACAAAUGCGCUUCACAUUCUUCAGAGGUGCACCAACCUUACCACCCUACUUAUGGGAAGCAGCUUCAGGGGCGAAUUAAUGCCAGAGGAUGGCUUCAUUGAUGGUUUUGAGAAUCUCCAGGUUCUUUCCUUAAAUGAUUGCUCGUUGCUAGGUAAAAUACCUCUUUGGAUAUCCAAGCUAGCAAAACUAGAGAUGUUGAUACUAUCAGGAAAUCAACUCACCGGAUCAACACCAGCCUGGAUCGAAGGCCUAAAGCACCUCUUCUAUCUAGACAUAUCAAACAACAGCCUCACUGGAGAAAUUCCAAGAAGCCUGAUGGAUAUGCAAAUGUUGCAGUCAGAGAAGACUAAAGCCCGUUUAGACCCAAGGAUCUUCGAACUACCAGUUUAUAGGGGUCCAUCACUUCAGUACCGCAUACCCAUUGCUUUCGCCAAAGUGCUGGAUCUAAGCAACAAUAAAUUAACUGGUGAGAUCCCUUCGGAGAUCGGCCAGCUGAAAUCCCUUGUUUCCCUCAAUUUGAGCUUCAAUGCCCUAACAGGACAGAUCCCAAUAUCUGUAUGCAAUCUCACAAACCUGCAGGUACUAGACUUCUCUAGCAACAAUCUCAUUGGUGCAAUCCCAGAUGCAUUGAACAGACUGAACUUCCUUUCAGCAUUCAACAUUUCUUACAAUGACCUAGAAGGUCCUAUCCCAUCCGGAGGUCAGUUUAACACAUUCCAAAAUUCUAGCUUCGAUGGGAAUCCAAAGCUCUGUGGCUCUAUGCUCACUCACAAAUGUGGUCCAGCUUCAACACGUCCACCCACCGCUAUGGCAACCAAACAAACUGACUACAAGGCCGCCUUCGCGAUUGCCUUCAGCGCGUUCUUUGGUGUAGGGGUGUUGUAUGAUCAGCUAGUAUUAUCAAGGUUUUUUGGCUAG